rnacentral:rRNA from 1 species
AUAGUUUGAUGCUGGCUCAGAUUGAACGCUGGCGGCAGGCCUAACACAUGCAAGUCGAGCGAGAAAGGCCUUCGGGCUGAGUACAGCGGCGGACGGGUGAGUAACGCGUAGGAAUCUACCCGGUAGUGGGGGACAACAUGGUGAAAACCAUGCUAAUACCGCAUACGCCCUAUGGGGGAAAGCGGGGGACCUUCGGGCCUCGCGCUAUCGGAUGAGCCUGCGUAAGAUUAGCUAGUUGGUGGGGUAGAAGCCUACCAAGGCGACGAUCUUUAGCUGGUCUGAGAGGAUGAUCAGCCACACUGGGACUGAGACACGGCCCAGACUCCUACGGGAGGCAGCAGUGGGGAAUAUUGCGCAAUGGGCGAAAGCCUGACGCAGCCAUGCCGCGUGUGUGAAGAAGGCCCUAGGGUUGUAAAGCACUUUCAAUUGGGAGGAAAGGUUGCUGGUUAAUAACCAGUAGCUGUGACGUUACCUUUAGAAGAAGCACCGGCUAACUCCGUGCCAGCAGCCGCGGUAAUACGGAGGGUGCGAGCGUUAAUCGGAAUUACUGGGCGUAAAGCGAGUGUAGGCGGUAACGUAAGUCGGAUGUGAAAUCCCUGGGCUCAACCUAGGAAUUGCAUUCGAUACUGCGUAACUUGAAUCAGACAGAGGGAUGUGGAAUUCCGGGUGUAGCGGUGAAAUGCGUAGAUAUCCGGAGGAACACCAGUGGCGAAGGCGGCAUCCUGGGUCUAGAUUGACGCUGAGGCUCGAAAGCGUGGGGAGCAAAC